rnacentral:ncRNA from 1 species
GGAGAAUCUUAGAUUUUCUUAAUGUUCUGUAGACAGGAUAGCAAUGCAGCGACAUGGAUGUCGCUGCAAGCAAAAGCCGGGGCAUGGACGCCACGUCUUUUGUGGUUGCGGUCGGAAAAGUGUAUUUUGGCAGAACAUUUAGAAAAUGUUAGAUUCGGA